rnacentral:tRNA from 1 species
GCUUGGGUAGCUCAGUUGGUAGAGCGCUUCGCUGAAGCCGAAGAGGUCCCCGGUUCGAUCCCGGGUCCAAGCA